rnacentral:rRNA from 1 species
AUUGAACGCUGGCGGCAUGCCUUACACAUGCAAGUCGAACGGCAGCACGGGAGCAAUCCUGGUGGCGAGUGGCGAACGGGUGAGUAAUGUAUCGGAACGUGCCCAGUCGUGGGGGAUAACGUAGCGAAAGCUACGCUAAUACCGCAUACGAUCUAUGGAUGAAAGCGGGGGAUCGCAAGACCUCGCGCGAUUGGGGCGGCCGAUAUCAGAUUAGGUAGUUGGGGGGGUAAAGGCCCACCAAGCCUUCGAUCUGUAGCUGGUAUGAGAGGACGACCAGCCACGCUGGAACUGAGACACGGUCCAGACUCCUACGGGAGGAAGCAGUGGGGAAUUUUGGACAAUGGGCGCAAGCAUGAUCCAGCAAUGCCGCGUGCAGGAUGAAGGCCUUCGGGUUGUAAACUGCUUUUGUACGGAACGAAACGGCUUUUUCUAAUACAGAGAGCUAAUGACGGUACCGUAAGAAUAAGCACCGGCUAACUACGUGCCAGCCGCCGCUGUAA